CCUAGCUACGUUGGGAGAGCAGCGAACAGCUCCGUAACACGUAGUUAACCUGCCCUUAGCACGGACAUACUCCCGGGAAACUGGGUCUAACAUCCGAUGGAUGGAAAUGCCUGGAAUGGUUUUCCAUUGAAAGGUUUUCGAGAACAUGCUCUCGAAGAUGGCUAAGGAUGGGACUGCGUCCGAUCAGGUAGUUGGUAGGGUAACGGCCUACCAAGCCGAUAACCGGUACGGGCCCUGAGAGGGGGAGCCCGGAGAUGGAAACUGAGACAAGGUUCCAGGCCCUACGGGGCGCAGCAGGCGCGAAACCUCCACAAUGCGCGAAAGCGUGAUGGGGUUACCCCGAGUGCCGUCCGAUGAGGAGGGCUUUUACUCGGUGUACAAAGCCGGGGGAAUAAAGGGGGGGCAAGACUGGUGUCAGCCGCCGCGGUAAUACCAGCUCCCUGAGUGGUAGGGAUGAUUAUUUGGCCUAAAGCGUCCGUAGCCGGCUUGGUAAGUCCUUCGUAAAAUCCAACGACUCAAUCGUUGGUUCGCGGAGGAUACUGCCAGGCUAGAGGACGGGAGAGGUUGACGGUAGUCCCAGGGUAGGGGUGAAAUCCAAUAAUCCUGGGAGGACCACCAGUGGCGAAGGCGGUCAACAAGAACGUGCCUGACGGUGAUGGACGAAAGCUGGGGGAGCGAACCGGAUUAGACACCCGGGUAGUCCCAGCC
rnacentral:rRNA from 1 species